AAUAAAUUAGUAUAUUCCAGCUUAUCAAACUGCCCCAUAAUUCUGAGGGUGACCUCUUUAAAGAAGGUCAGGCAUUGAGUGAGACAGCUACAUUUGGGCAGAGGCAGGGUUUUACCAAGAACACUUUCAGUUCCUGUUUCCAAUUGAGCCUGCUCCCUGCCUGGGGCCUAGCCUGAUGUACAAGCCCAUUGGCUGGGCUUGCUUAAAUGUCCCACACAAAUAUAAACACCUCUACAGUGUGGGGAAGAUGAAAGGAAUAGCUUAUUGAUAUUGUAUAUGCUAACGUUUGGAUGUGGGACAGGAAAGACAGCACUGAGCUGCUGGUAUGCAACGCUGAAGCCGGGCGGCAUGGAGAGGUUUUCAUUUACUGAUGCUGGAUGCGUGCCCAGACUGCCAUAGUGGAAUGCAGGGAGAAACACAGAAAGGAGGAGGACCACAGAAUGGUUUUUCGUGAACAUCCAUGUGGGGCAGAAGAAUAAAUACAUAUGAAGGCUAUGUUUCUAGAAAUGAAAGAACUGGCCACUGAGGAGCAGUUGGGAGCCCCCCUGCCCCCGCCCCCCAAGUCCCAACCUGGCCCUCUUCAUUUGUACUUGAAGAGUCAACUAUUCCCGACUCUUGGCAUGCACCUCCUGUCGACUACCAUAUAUGAUCGAUUUACCCAAACAUCGAGGUGUCUCCAUUGGAGUUAUGUGCGAGAUAGAACUGCUCAGCGUUUGCCUUUCACCCAAAGGACUCGAAAGAUACUUUGAAACAAAAGAUUCCUCUGGGAAUCAUCCAUAAGCAUAAAAUGGAAAAUUUCCUUUCCCCCAGUAUGCCUCCAUUCCACCUCCCCAUUCUGGAGACGUGAUUAUUAGCCAAAUCAGAUCAGGAACAGAAGCAGCAGGAGCUGAAAGAUUCUUGCCCUUCUGACCGGCCCAGCUUUGGGUGUGACAUUUAUGUGUGGGUGUGUAUCCAUAUAAUUAUAAAUACAGAAUACACAAAUGGCAUCGCAAGGUAUAAUUAAUUAGCUAAACUAAAAGCCUUUGCCACUGUGUCAGUUUUAAACUUUUUAGCUCCAAUGAUUUUUUAAUAUACCAGCUUGACGAUAAAGGAGAAGGGGAAAGGGGUGGGAACGGGGAAGAUCCCGUGAAUACAUUUUUUGACAUUUUGUUUAUUAUCAUGUUAUCUAGGCUAGUGGUAAAUGGAUGGACUUGUCAGCAGAAAUCUCUCGGUGAAGUAAAUAAAGAAUCUUAAUAGCAAGGACCA
rnacentral:lncRNA from 1 species